AAUCACCUUCGGGGUAUGGAGCAUUUCCAAAUCGGUGGUAUAGCCCACGAGCCGCAAGGCAUGAUCUUGUGUAAUUCAAGAGCCGACCGUACAGUCGGGAUGAAAGAAGGAAAAA
rnacentral:ncRNA from 2 species